CCCCCCACAUAUUUAAGUGUCGAAACCCUACCCCAUACCAUCAGAACCCCCCAUCUGAUCAUCUCUCUUCUUUAGAGACCAAAGAAUCCCUAGAUCGUCGCCCUUAUACUCACCACCUUAAGCCUGGAGACGCAAUCCUAAAUCACUCCCAUUUCCCACCAACCUAACACCAUAGAAUUCCCCCCACCUCCUCUUCCUCAAUAUGUAUUUCUUUUCCUUUGAAUCGUGCUAGAAUUCUUCAAAUUGUAGAUUACAAAGUCGAACCCUAGAACCCCAAUCGAGAUUAUGCAGGCGAUUCGGGUCUAAUAUAAUUUUAGUCGUUUAUUCUCUCUAAGAACAUGAGAUUAAUAUCAUAUUUGACCAGAAGUCUGGAGAUUUGAAGAUUUAAGCCUAUCUCUUGUUGGUCUGCUGUAAUAUGUUUUUUUGUUUUUUUUGUUUUGGUUUAAUCUUUCCUUCAGUAUUCUUUUCCGUGCCCUGUUCCUUUUUUUUCAUUUUUGUUUUGGAAUUUCUGUUAGUCAUGUAUGAGUUAAGUGAAGUCGUUUUCUUAAUAGGCAGUAAGCUAGUUAAUUUAAAGUGGUUGGUUUGGGUUAAUGUUAGAUUAGCAAGUCAUUAGGCUAACUUCUUUCAAUUGCCAAUGUGUGCUAUUGAGGGUUGCAAUUCGAUAAUGGGGCAAAUGCCAUUGAGGCUAUUUGGGCCUCUAAUCGUGUGGGGGUGGGUUUGGGUUAAAAUAAGACUCAUGUUGGGUUAGAAAAUUGGGUCAAAUCAGACCCAUGACCCAUUGAGGGUUCAGCGGUAAAUACAGAAUAACUAAAGGGUAAUUUAGGAUUUCAACUUAAGAGAAUCUUUUGUUAACUGCCUAGGAAGCUUCUAGGAAGUGGGAUUGGGACUAUUUUGAAAUUAUGAUAAAUAAGAUAGGGGUAUGGGAGCAAAAACCAGAACUAAAAAAAGGUUAAAAGGAAAUUUUCAUUUCUUCUAGGAUGCCCUAAUGGUUUGCCUAUAAAGGCAUUGUUACUUGAGGUUUAAGUCAGACCUAAGGGAUUAAGUGGGUGAGAACCCUGAAAAAUUAAAGACAAUUAAAAAUAAGAAAAUACUGUUCUAUUAAGAUUUCUACUUUGAAUUUUGAAGUUUCUCAUUCCUGAAUGAUAGUCUAUCAUAUUUGAGAGUGUGAAAUGGCUUGAAUUUGGUUCACGUUGAAAGUCUGGGUAGAUUCUGUGGUUAAGCCACUGUUUCAUUAGUUUAUGAGUUGAUUUCAUUGGAAAAUUAGUUGAAUAUGGGACUGUUCUCUGGUGUUGCUUAUUGCUGAUUGGUUUGCCGAGACGUUCGGUAUUGGGUUUUGGAGAGUUUUGGGAUACUUAGUCCCUAAAAGAGAUCUUAAGAGUUAGAAAGUAAUCUGUAAUCGGAACAGUGUGAAGAUGACCUCGGAAUGGAAAAUCGAUGGUUCCGUUAGAUUCGUUAGGUGAUAUCGGGUUGCGAGCGUGUUCGAAAUGUAUUUUGGAAAUCCGUAGCUCAUUUAGGUUUAAAAUGUCGAAGUUUGAAUUUUUGAAGUUUCCGGUCCAACAGUGAUUUUUUUAUCCGAGGGUCAGAAUGGGAUCCGGAAGUUGCAUUAGCUUCGUCAUGUCAUUUGGGAUGUAUAUGUAAAAUUUCUGGUCAUUCGGACGUAUUUUGGUUAGUUCUUUUUAUCGAAAGCGUGUUUUGAUGAAAUUUGAAGUUCUUAGGCUUAAAUCAUUGAUUAAAUUGGAUUUUUGGUGUUGUUUUUGGUGUAUAAGGAUUGGUACAAGUUUGAAUAGGGUAUUAGGUGGCAUUGGUGCUUUUGGUUGAGGUCCCGGGGGCCUCAGGAUAAUUUUAGGUGGUUGGCGGAAAGUUUUGAAGUUAAAGAGUUGCUGAAGACUGCUGUCAUUCGUCAUAACCGCACCUGCGGUUUGGGUUCCGCAGGUGAGGAGAUGCAGAAGCGGCUAGGUAGUCGCAGAUGCAGAUUUGGCAGGAGGAUCAUGUUCCGCAGAUGCGGAAUGUUAACUGCAGAAGCGGUACCACACCUGCACGAGGGAAACCGUAAAUAUGAAAUCUGGGAGCACAUGUGAAAGCCGCAAAUGCGGCAAUUGGUCCGUAUAAGCGGGACCGCAGAGCAGAAGCGGAAACCACUGUUCAGAAUAGAGAAUUUCGAGGGUUAUUUUUCAAAAGAUAGAAAAAAAAUCAAAUUGAGCUCGAGAAAGGGCGAUUUUAAGAGGGUUUUGAAGAGUAGAUCAUUGGGUAAUGUUUUUUUAAUCCUUCUUAGUUAUAUUCCAUA
rnacentral:lncRNA from 1 species